AAUCGGUCACCAGCUCGUCGCAGCCAAUCUUGCAUCAAUAAUUCUAUCUCGCUGAUAGUCGCCUCGCUAUUCUUCAUAACAGUUUCUACAAUACAAAUGUAAUCAUCCUCCUCAUCAAUCCAUUUCUCCUCAGAUGUGUCAGUACUGUCUUCUCUCGCGUAUGCACAAAGACGGCGAUUUUUUUGCCGUCUGGAUAACUCUUGAAAAGCCUUUGGCAUCUGUAGUAACAAUUGAUUUAUACACUAUGAUUGAGUAUAGGAUAGACGUUCGGCUUAUGACAUUUACGUAAUUUGUAGCUUAUCAUAAAUUUUAUUGAACUGUAACAUGAUAGACGUUUUAUAUUUUAAAGCUAUUAAUAUGUUAUGAUUCUGUAUCUUUUUAUGUUCUUGUAAAAGAUCUUUAUUAAACAAUAAUACAUAUACUCUA